CACUUGGUCAGGUGGAACCGGGGAUUGAAUCACCAACCUUCUGGUUUGUAGACAACCUACAUGAAGCACUGAUCCACUGCCACCUCAUUACUUACUCCUGGUGAAAGUCACACAGCUGGAUCUUGAAGUGAAGACUGAAGUUUGAUUAUCUUCUGACAUCUGCAUACACCACUUCAUCCUCCUCUUUAACAUUCUGUAUGAAACACAAGAUGCAGAAGAUCACGACUGUAAACACAAUCAGCAGAGAUCCAGCAGCAGAGGAAGAGAUCAACACUAUCAGAGACACUGGAGAGAG